UACGUAGGUGGCAAGCGUUGUCCGGAUUUAUUGGGUUUAAAGGGUGCGUAGGCGGUUCCAUAAGUCAGUGGUGAAAUCCGGCAGCUCAACUGUCGAGGUGCCAUUGAUACUGCGGAACUUGAGUGUUGAUGAGGCAGGCGGAAUUGACGGUGUAGCGGUGAAAUGCUUAGAUAUCGUCAAGAACACCGAUAGCGAAGGCAGCUUGCCAAGCAACAACUGACGCUCAGGCACGAAAGUGCGGGGAUCAAACAGG
rnacentral:rRNA from 1 species